rnacentral:rRNA from 1 species
AUUGAACGCUGGCGGAAUGCUUUACACAUGCAAGUCGAACGGCAGCAUAGGUGCUUGCACCUGAUGACGAGUGGCGAACGGGUGAGUAAUACAUCGGAACGUGCCCAGUCGUGGGGGAUAACGUAGCGAAAGUUACGCUAAUACCGCAUACGAUCUAAGGAUGAAAGCGGGGGACCGUAAGGCCUCGCGCGAUUGGAGCGGCCGAUGUCAGAUUAGGUAGUUGGUGAGGUAAAGGCUCACCAAGCCGACGAUCUGUAGCGGGUCUGAGAGGACGACCAGCCACACUGGGACUGAGACACGGCCCAGACUCCUACGGGAGGAAGCAGUGGGGAAUUUUGGACAAUGGACGCAAGUCUGAUCCAGCCAUUCCGCGUGCAGGACGAAGGCCUUCGGGUUGUAAACUGCUUUUGUACGGAACGAAAAAGCUCUUACUAAUACUAGGAGUCCAUGACGGUACCGUAAGAAUAAGCACCGGCUAACUACGUGCCAGCCGCCGCAGUAA